AUGGCGUCCCAGCUGGUCGAGAGCCACCGCUCUGGCGCCAAGGUUGUCAAGGGGGACGACGUCUGCAAGAAGAGGUCCGUCGAGCUCCUCGAAGAGCUUGGCCUCCCAAAAGGCCUAUUUCCAAUGAGCGACAUGGAGGAGGUCGGGUACAACCGCGAGAGCAGCUUCAUGUGGAUGCUUCAGAAGAAGAAGAACGAGCACACCUUCAAGAAGAUCAAGCAGACGGUCUCCUAUGCCCCCGAGGUGACCGCUUUCGUCAAGAAGGGCAAGAUCAAGAAGGUCACCGGGGUCAAGGUCAAGGAGCUGUUUCUGUGGCUCAGUUUGGUUGAGGUCUAUGUCGAGAGUCCUCCGCUGAAAAAGUCACCUUCAGGACUGGUACCGACUGUCUGA
rnacentral:rRNA from 1 species